AUUGAACGCUAGCGGCAUGCUUUACACAUGCAAGUCGAACGAGUGGCGGACGUGUGAGUAAUAUAUCGGCACGUGCCCAGUAGCUGGGGAUAACUACUCGAAAGUGUUGCUGCUACCGCCUACUAUUGGCUCGGCCGGUAUCGGAUUUGCUAGUUGGUGGGGUAAAGGCUGACCAAGGUAACGAUCCGUAGCUGGUUUGAGAGGACGACCAGCCACACUGGGACUGAGACACGGCCCAGACUCCUACGGGAGGCAGCAGUGGGGAAUUUUGGACAAUGGGGGAAAGCCUGAUCCAGCCAUCCCGCGUGUAUGAGAAGGCCUUCGGGUUGUAAAGUACUUUUGGCAGAGAAGCGGUAUCUGCAGAAUAAGCACCGGCUAACUACGUGCCAGCAGCCGCGGUAAUAC
rnacentral:rRNA from 1 species